CGGCGAGUGAAGCGGCAACAGCUCAAAUUUGAAAUCUGGCCCUUUCCGGGUCCGAGUUGUAAUUUGCAGAGGGUGCUUUGGCGUUGGCUGUGGUCUAAGUUCCUUGGAACAGGACGUCGCAGAGGGUGAGAAUCCCGUAUGUGGCCGCCAGCCUUCGCCGUGUAAAGCCCCUUCGACGAGUCGAGUUGUUUGGGAAUGCAGCUCUAAAUGGGAGGUAAAUUUCUUCUAAAGCUAAAUAUUUGCCAGAGACCGAUAGCGCACAAGUAGAGUGAUCGAAAGAUGAAAAGCACUUUGGAAAGAGAGUCAAAAAGCACGUGAAAUUGUUGAAAGGGAAGCGCUUGCAGUUAGACAUGCCUUUGGUUGCUCAGCCGGGCUUCAGCCCGGUGCACUCUCCCAUUGGCAGGCCAGCAUCAGUUUGGGCGGUUGGAUAAAGGUCUAUUAAACGUGACUCCCCUCGGGGAGAGCUUAUAGGGUAGGCGACAUGCAACCAGCCCGAACUGAGGUCCGCGCAUCUGCUAGGAUGCUGGCGUAAUAGCUGUAAGCGGCCCGUCUUGAAACACGGACCAAGGAGUCUAACAUCUAUGCGAGUGUUUGGGUGUAAAGCCCGGACGCGUAAUGAAAGUAAACGGAGGUGGGAUCCCUCACGGGUGCACCAUCGACCGAUCCUGAUGUCUUCGGAUGGAUUUGAGUAAGAGCAUAGCUGUUGGGACCCGAAAGAUGGUGAACUAUGCCUGAAUAGGGUGAAGCCAGAGGAAACUCUGGUGGAGGCUCGCAGCGGUUCUGACGUGCAAAUCGAUCGUCAAAUUUGGGCAUAGGGGCGAAAGACUAAUCGAACUAUCUAGUAGCUGGUUCCUGC
rnacentral:rRNA from 1 species